UGAAGAUUAAUGGGUGAGUAGUGUUGG
rnacentral:sRNA from 1 species